UGUACAGGAAAAUGACCUAUGAAUUGACAGACAGUGUGGCUAAGAGUGUCUGUCAUUUCUGUAGGCCAAUAUUCUGUAUAUC
rnacentral:pre_miRNA from 1 species